rnacentral:rRNA from 1 species
UACGAAGGGGGCUAGCGUUGCUCGGAAUCACUGGGCUUAAAGCGUGUGUAGGCGGAGUGCUAAGUACCUUGUGAAAUCCCACGGCUCAACCGUGGAAUUGCUGGGUAUACUGGUUCUCUUGAGCGACCCAGGGGCGAGCGGAACAAACGGUGGAGCGGUGAAAUGCGUAGAUAUCGUUUGGAACGCCAAAGGUGAAAACAGCUCGCUGGGGGUCUGCUGACGCUGAGACACGAAAGCCAGGGGAGCGAACGGG